CUUGAGUCUCGUAGAGGGGGGGUUAGAAUUCCAGGUGUAGCGGUGAAAAUGCGGUAGAGAUUCUGGAGGAAUUACCGGUGGCGAUAGGCGGCCCCCUGGACGAAAGACUGACGCUCAGGGUUGCGAAAAGCGUUGGGGAGCAAACAGGAUUAGAUUACCCUGGUAGUCCACGCCGUAAACGAUGUCGACUUUGGAGGUUGUGCCCUUGAGGCGUGGCUUCCGGGAGCUAACGCGUUUAAGUCGACCGCCUGGGGAGUACGGCCGCAAGGUUAAAACUCAAAUGAAUUGACGGGGGCCCGCACAAGCGGUGGAGCAUGUGGUUUAAUUCGAUGCAACGCGAAGAACCUUACCUGGUCUUGACAUCCACGGAAGUUUUCAGAGAUGAGAAUGUGCCUUCGGGAACCGUGAGACAGGUGCUGCAUGGCUGUCGUCAGCUCGUGUUGUGAAAUGUUGGGUUAAGUCCCGCAACGAGCGCAACCCUUAUCCUUUGUUGCCAGCGGUCCGGCCGGGAACUCAAAGGAGACUGCCAGUGAUAAACUGGAGGAAGGUGGGGAUGACGUCAAGUCAUCAUGGCCCUUACGACCAGGGCUACACACGUGCUACAAUGGCGCAUACAAAGAGAAGCGACCUCGCGAGAGCAAGCGGACCUCAUAAAGUGCGUCGUAGUCCGGAUUGGAGUCUGCAACUCGACUCCAUGAAGUCGGAAUCGCUAGUAAUCGUGGAUCAGAAUGCCACGGUGAAUACGUUCCCGGGCCUUGU
rnacentral:rRNA from 1 species